rnacentral:lncRNA from 1 species
AGGUCUUGGGAGUGAAAGAGCAGAAACCAAAAGGUCUGUUUGGAAUGUUGCAAGGAGAUGGCAUAACAGCAAGGAGAUGGCAAACAAACACCUCUAGCUCCACCACAACAAGUACAAACCGCACAUAUCUGAAAUCUCCUUAAAUUCCUUUUGCUUUCAUUAAACAACAUCAGCAUCUUCACCAUCUUUUCUUCCAUAAUUGGAACCAUUUCAGAUGACCCAUUUACCUUCAAAUCCAUAAACAAUGAAAACACUCAAAUCUUUGACGUGAAAAUCAAAGAGAAGCAAGGAUUUUGACUUACUUGACCCAUAGUUGCAGCCUCAUUGUAAUUGAAGAAACAAG